UACGAAGGGUGCAAACGUUGCUCGGAAUCAUUGGGCGUAAAGCGCACGUAGGCGGCUUGCCAAGUCGGACGUGAAAUCCCUCAGCUCAACUGAGGACGUGCAUCCGAAACUGGCGAGCUUGAGUACUGAAGAGGAUCGCGGAAUUCCCGGUGUAGAGGUGAAAUUCGUAGAUAUCGGGAGGAACACCAGUGGCGAAGGCGGCGAUCUGGGCAGAUACUGACGCUGAGGUGCGAAAGCGUGGGGAUCAAACAGG
rnacentral:rRNA from 1 species